rnacentral:lncRNA from 1 species
ACCACGUUCCUGUGAAGGAAGCGAAUGGAUAGCAUGGCCAGUAUUUCAACUGGCUGCUAAUACGAUGUGUACAACUUCAGACAUUUAUGUGAGCACCCAGAGUAAGAGGAUGAAGUUGGCAGUAGCGUCAGGUCAUCUUGCCUAUAAACCACCUAACCACUGCCCUCCAGGGAUAGGACUGAAAUACAGAAGUGCUACCUCGAGAGGACAUAACCAGAUAGACUGCAAGGCAGAGGCAAGAUUUUCCCCAACAUCUUCAUACUGGUGAGCCUCGAGGUACUAUUUUUUUUUUUUUUGGGGGGGGGGGGGGUGAGGGUGGGAUAAGGAAAUGCAUGGAGGGCAUUAAAUUGAGAAUAUGUUAAAACAGAACAACGACAGCAAAACAGAGUUUGUAUUUAUUCAGGCUUCACAUUAAGUAUCAAUGUCAGCAACUUCUGCUGAAGGAGGAAUGUUUGGACUUCACAGCAUACAGGACUGUGAGGCAUUAAGCCACCCUGAUGCAAAUUUGCUUAUCAUCAAGGAUACCUAGAAAAUAAGCAAGAAAAAAAAAUAUACAAGGAGCUUUGGUCAGCCCUGGCACUGUGUGUGAAACUCUAGCUUCAUUGGAAAGUGUCAGGGUAAGUGAAAGAAGGGCCUUUGUAAUUGUUGUCUUACAAUUAUGUCACUCACUCCUGUAGCCUUCAUUUUCCCUGUGCAAUUUGUAAGAGAUG